GACAGAGGGUGCAAACGUUGUUCGGAAUUACUGGGCGUAAAGCGCGUGUAGGCGGCCAUCUAAGUCGGGCGUGAAAUCCCACGGCUCAACCGUGGAAGUGCACUCGAAACUGGAUGGCUAGGACGUCCUGGAGAGGAAGGUGGAAUGCUUGGUGUAGAGGUGAAAUUCGUAGAUAUCAAGCGGAACACCGGUGACGAAGGCGGCCUUCUGGACAGUGACUGACGCUG
rnacentral:rRNA from 1 species